AAAAUCCGUCAUUACCGCCAUGUUUCUGACCACGGGGUCCAGGCUCCUUUUCCUCUCCAGGUCUUAUAGAACUCGAUGUCAUUACUACUUAUCACUUCAACGCAACUUCAACGGGAGAUGAAAAAUGUUAUCAAAAACGUCAAAUGUUUCGAGCCAUUUUAAUUUUUUGGUAUCAUAAGUGCUCUGUCUCACAAUAAACGAAAAACAGAAAAAAAGCAGGAAGAGAACAUGGAUUAAAGAAUGCACCAAAUGAUCUGAUGUUGUUUGUAAGCAUUUCACUAACGGUAAAGAUCUAAGUGGCAAUUUGAUUCAGGGUGAAGAAAAAGAGAAACUUUAUAAUGAAAGUCAGUUACAUGGAGAUCUUGUUCGUACAGAAACCCUGUGAUUUUACAUUUCGGUACAGCUACUGUGGGUACUUCAGUGGGCAAAUGAUGAUUACGAUUUCCAAUAAUAUUUACGACUUAA